CUUAACACAUGCAAGUCGAGGGGCAGCAUUUUAGUUUGCUUGCAAACUGAAGAUGGCGACCGGCGCACGGGUGAGUAACACGUAUCCAACCUGCCGAUAACUCCGGAAUAGCCUUUCGAAAGAAAGAUUAAUACCGGAUAGCAUACGAAUAUCGCAUGAUAUUUUUAUUAAAGAAUUUCGGUUAUCGAUGGGGAUGCGUUCCAUUAGUUUGUUGGCGGGGUAACGGCCCACCAAGACAACGAUGGAUAGGGGUUCUGAGAGGAAGGUCCCCCACAUUGGAACUGAGACACGGUCCAAACUCCUACGGGAGGCAGCAGUGAGGAAUAUUGGUCAAUGGGCGAGAGCCUGAACCAGCCAAGUAGCGUGAAGGAUGAAGGCUCUAUGGGUCGUAAACUUCUUUUAUAUGGGAAUAAAGUUUUCCACGUGUGGAAUUUUGUAUGUACCAUAUGAAUAAGGAUCGGCUAACUCCGUGCCAGCAGCCGCGGUAAUACGGAGGAUCCGAGCGUUAUCCGGAUUUAUUGGGUUUAAAGGGAGCGUAGGUGGAUUGUUAAGUCAGUUGUGAAAGUUUGCGGCUCAACCGUAAAAUUGCAGUUGAAACUGGCAGUCUUGAGUACAGUAGAGGUGGGCGGAAUUCGUGGUGUAGCGGUGAAAUGCUUAGAUAUCACGAAGAACUCCGAUUGCGAAGGCAGCUCACUAGACUGUCACUGACACUGAUGCUCGAAAGUGUGGGUAUCAAACAGGAUUAGAUACCCUGGUAGUCCACACAGUAAACGAUGAAUACUCGCUGUUUGCGAUAUACAGUAAGCGGCCAAGCGAAAGCAUUAAGUAUUCCACCUGGGGAGUACGCCGGCAACGGUGAAACUCAAAGGAAUUGACGGGGGCCCGCACAAGCGGAGGAACAUGUGGUUUAAUUCGAUGAUACGCGAGGAACCUUACCCGGGCUUAAAUUGCAACAGAAUAUAUUGGAAACAGUAUAGCCGUAAGGCUGUUGUGAAGGUGCUGCAUGGUUGUCGUCAGCUCGUGCCGUGAGGUGUCGGCUUAAGUGCCAUAACGAGCGCAACCCUUAUCUUUAGUUACUAACAGGUGAUGCUGAGGACUCUAGAGAGACUGCCGUCGUAAGAUGUGAGGAAGGUGGGGAUGACGUCAAAUCAGCACGGCCCUUACGUCCGGGGCUACACACGUGUUACAAUGGGGGGUACAGAAGGCGGCUACCUGGUGACAGGAUGCUAAUCCCAAAAACCUCUCUCAGUUCGGAUCGAAGUCUGCAACCCGACUUCGUGAAGCUGGAUUCGCUAGUAAUCGCGCAUCAGCCAUGGCGCGGUGAAUACGUUCCCGGGCCUUGUACACACCGCCCGUCAAGCCAUGAAAGCCGGGGGUACCUGAAGUACGUAACAGCAAGGAGCGUCCUAGGGUAAAACUGGUAAUUGGGGCUAAG
rnacentral:rRNA from 1 species